UGGAGCCAGCGGGGUCCGGAGGCCAGGAGAGAGGGGAGGAGACUGCGAGACCCGGACAAGCGGGAAGCGGAGGAGGCAAGGGGCCCGCGGGGGCCAGCGGGUGACCAGUACGGCUAAGGGCCGGCGGAGUGGAGCAGGACCCAGGGCGGGCUGCGGAACCCGAGAGCAGAUGGUCUGUGCCCCCCAGGUGGUCAUUGACCCUAGGGUAGAGGGCCCUUCCCAUGACACCGAGGAGAAGGAGCAGGAGGAGGAUGGCCAGGAGCCGCAGGAGCCUGGAGGGAGCGUGCCUCACACCCAGGACCUGUAAGCCAUCCCAGCAAGCCUGUCGCCAGUGACAUCCGAGGCCGGGGAGGUCUCGACAUCUAAAGCAGCUGCGAGUGCAGGGCGCACCACCCCACCCAGAACAGCCUCCCGUACCUGGGCCAGCAGGCUCACCUGGAACCAGGAGGAGUACCAGUGACAGCACCUGGGGUUACUGCAAAGCCAGGAGCACUGGAUGCAUGAAGACUUGCAGCUGUGGCGCGAGAGCUUGCAGGAGCUGCUUGACCAGGGCCGUGCCAUCCGCGAGCAUCUGCAGACCUUGGUGCAGAGAUUGCUGCCUGCUGAGGCUCCAGCCCCUGUGGCUGCCCCAGCUGUCACUCUGCCUCUCACUCCUGAUCCUCCCCCCGUCCCACCCUCCAUACCCGCUGCCCCCCGGGGACACCGAGGCCCCCGCACCCACAGUGCUGGGAGACAGGUGGACCAGCAAGACCCACAGCCCUGAGCUUCUCCUCC